CAGAGUGCAUCAUGGGUAUUAGCAGAGGAUGUUCCUGAAAAUAGUUAAUUGGGCUUCAGUAAAUGAAGACUGAAAGCCUGAGGCACAGAAAUAGAGAUUGAAACUAGCCUGAGUGAAGUUGAAAUGUCAGAGGAAAAUAUUCCUGCAAGCAGUCCAGCCUGUGACUAGAAUUAAGAAAGAAUCAAGAAUAUGGAAUGAGUUGCAUUUGCAACUGCUGUCUGAAUGGGUAUCCAGUUAGAAGCAAACACUUCUGUCAGUGGCUCAGGUAGUGUGUGCUUCAGAGCUAUUCUACAGGUCACCGAGAGAAACUGCAGUGUUGAUCAAGGUGAGACUUGGAGGGAAAGUCUGUGAGGUUGUGAUUUGCUUUUGUCUGUUCUGUUCAGGAGGAGCAGUUAGAAGCAGUGUUGUCAGCUGCUGUGCAAACUGGUUCUUUAGAACUUCUGACGGGAUGCAUUAAACACUGGACUUGUGAAGAGCAGCCAAGUUCUGCUGUAAAUUUACGGUUUGUUCUGGAGUGGACGUGGAACAAAGUGAUCUGUACAAAAGAUGAACUGGACCAAAUAUGUGUUCCGCUGUUUGACGGCUCCUGCAACUUCAUUGACCCACAGACAUUACAGUCCCUUCAGCACUGCCAGCUGCUGCUGAGCAACCUCAGCACAGUCCUGAACUGUUUUCUAACAGAAGCCCGAGAGCUGACUGAGA